UACGUAGGGUGCAAGCGUUGUUCGGAAUCAUUGGGCGUAAAGCGCGUGUAGGCGGUUUGUUAAGUCGAGUGUGAAAUCCCUGGGCUCAACCGAGGAAGUGCAUUCGAAACUAACUGGCUAAAAGAUGGUAGAGGAAGGUGGAAUUCCAAGUGUAGAGGUGAAAUUCGUAGAUAUUUGGAGGAAUACCGGUGGCGAAGGCGGCCUUCUGGACCAUUCUUGACGCUGAGACGCGAAAGCGUGGGGAGCAAACAGG
rnacentral:rRNA from 1 species